GCGGGUGUAGCUCAGUGGUAGAGCACAACCUUGCCAAGGUUGGGGUCACGAGUUCGAAUCUCGCCACCCGCUCCA
rnacentral:tRNA from 1 species